UACGGGGGGGGCAAGCGUUGUUCGGAAUUACUGGGCGUAAAGGGUUUGUAGGUGGCCCGCUAAGUCACACGUGAAAUCCCUCAGCUUAACUGGGGAACUGCGUGUGAGACUGGCAGGCUCGAGGGCAGGAGAGGAACGCGGAAUUCCAGGUGUAGCGGUGAAAUGCAUAGAUAUCUGGAGGAACACCGGUGGCGAAGGCGGCGUUCUGGACUGUCUCUGACACUGAAGAACGAAAGCCAGGGUAGCAAACGGG
rnacentral:rRNA from 1 species